GAAUUUACUAGAUUGUUAACCACAGAUGAUGAAACUAAGACUUAGAAGUAUUAGGCAAUGAGUCCACAAUCACAUAAAUCCUAGGCUGUAUAGCUGGGAUUUGAGCUCAUGGCUCAAAUCCACCAUUCUACCUUAUGUCAAAUAAAAAUAUGCUGGGUUACAGGUUUCCUUGCAAGUCAGGGUUGUGGAUAGGAAUAUGGUGCCCUGGUAUAACAUAUGCUUCUAAAAGUUCCAGUCUCUUGAGGAAUUAUGGUAUCCUGUGAUGUCAAGUCAAACAUAGCAUCUGGGUGUCCUUAGGGAUCAAAGGUAGUAGUCAGAAUUUCUUUGUAAUACCAGAGUGUUCUGGAGCAACUGGUUGUCCUGGAUGGUAGUCAGAGUGCUUGUGUAGGGUUAGGGUAUCUUGAGGCACUAGAGUUCAUUGUAAUUUGGUGUUUUGUUGUGGGUCCAAGUUGAUUGCAUGCUACUGGGGUUUUGCAAGGGCUUCCAUGGGGUUCAGGGUAGGAGAUCUAAUAUACUUUAUCUAGAACACAGUAUAUCCCAGGAUAUACUGGAUGUUAUGAUUUGAAUAUGAAAUAUUCCCCCCAAAGGCUCAUAUGUUGAAGGCUUGUUCCCCAACAGAAAUAUUCACAGGUGAAGAUAUGUGGAAGUACUUGGAUCAUAAGGGUUCUGACCUCAUCAAUGGAUUAAUCCAUCAAGAGAUUUACAGCUAAAUGGAUUAUUGGGAAGUAGUAGAAACUGUAGAUGGUAGAACUUAUUUGGCAGGAGUAGGUCCUUGGGAGCAUGACCUUGGGGACUAUAUCUUGUCCCCAGUCCCUUCUUCUCCCUCUGCAUUUCCCAACUGUCAUGGGUUGAGCAGCUUUCCUCCACCAUGCCAUUCCACCAUGAUGUUCUGCCUCAAUUCAUGCCCAAAGCAAUGCAGCCAGAUAACUACAGACUAAGUCUAUGAAGCCAUGAUCCAAAAUAUUCCUAGUCCAAAAAAAUUCUUGUCCUCCUUUAUUUUUUACAGUAUUUUGUUCACAAUGUUGUGGAACUGACUAAUAUGCUAGGAUAUGGAAAGAUGGGUUGGUGUCUUGGAGAAGGGCUUCUCGAUUUUAUUUUGUUAUGUACUGAAUGUUUGUGUCCCUCCCCCCCCCAAAAAAAAAAAUAAGGGUGCACCUUAAUUUGGUAGUAUAAUGGUACUUGGAGGUGGAAUUCUUUAGAGUUAAUUAGAUUUAGAUGGGGUAAUAAGGAGGAGGCCCCAUGAUGGCAUUAGUUUCCUUCUGAGAAGAAGAAAGACUAUAGCUGGUUCUCUCUCCCCCAAGUAAAAACACAGUGAGAAAUUAGCUAUCUGCAAGCCAGGAAGAGAGACCUCAACUGGGGAACUAAACCGGCCAUCCCCUUGAUCUUGUACUUCUUCAGUCCCCAGAACUAUGAGAAAUAAAUGUCUAUUAUUGAAGCUACCCAGUCUGUGGUAUUUUGUUACGGCAUCCCAACCUGCCUAAGACAAAUAUACAUUCAGUUCUCCUGGGGAUCUUGUUACAACACACAUUCUGAUUCGGUAGGUGGGACAUGAGAUUCUGCAUUUCUAACAGGCUCCCAUUUGCUGCUGAUGAUGAUCUUUGGACCAUAUUAUAAACAUCAGGCUCUUAGAGGUUUAUGAUGUUUCCAUUCUUGAAUUGUCAAGAAGUUUUUAAAGGAUGUGAUUAAGGAGUUAGAGUGACCUUAGGGAUCAAACCAUAGGUACACAAGUUCCAAGAAAGUUAGUGUGUCAUCAGGUCAAUGUGUCCUAAGAGAUCGGAACUUCAUGUAAAAGGAUGGGAAUCACCUAGUAAAGG
rnacentral:lncRNA from 1 species